rnacentral:rRNA from 1 species
GACAGAGGGUGCAAACGUUUGUUCGGAAUUACUGGGCGUAAAGCGCGUGUAGGCGGCUUGGCAAGUCGGGUGUGAAAGCCCUGGGCUCAACCCAGGAAGUGCACUCGAAACUGACUUCGCUCGAGUAUCGGAGAGGAAAGCGGAAUUCUCGGUGUAGAGGUGAAAUUCGUAGAUAUUCGGAAGAACACCAGUGGCGAAGGCGACUUACUGGACACAUAUUGACGCUGAGGUGCGAAAGCGUGGGGAGCAAACAGGG